ensembl:rRNA 5S_rRNA 5S ribosomal RNA
GUCUACGGCCAUGCCACCCUGAACAAGACCAGUCUUGUCUGAUCUCGGAAGCUAAGCAGGGUCGGACCUGGUUAGUACUUGGAUGGGAGACCACCUAGGAAGACCAGGUGCUAUAGACU